UGAAGUGAUGCCUCACUGAUGUGCGAUCAUCUGCUGACGUCAUCUGAAGCUCCUAAGACAAUGGAAUCUAUAUAAUUCUUCUACACAAAGCGUGUGUGCGCCCAGAGAGUGUGCACUUCCUGAGUUGGAGGAUGAUGGCACUCUGGAUCAAAAAGACUGGUUGUGGAAAGCCAGUUUGUUUUGUGUGGAUUUUUUGUUUUGCCCUGGAUUAGAGGAAAUUGGCUUGAACUUUGGGGCAGAGCACGCAACUCACCUUAUCUCCUGGGGAACACCCAACCAAUUGGAGGGAAACUAUGGCACAACUGAACUGGUAUCCAAGAGGUCAAUCUUUAUGCAUGUGACAGAUUUAGACAAGUAUUCUUUGGAUCCAGGACUGAAGGAAGCAUAUUACACAGACAGAUCUCAAACCAGCAGAAACAUUAUCCAUGUGAGCAAAGUGCGCAGGCAAGCACAGCAACUGAGUAGCAACUACUGAAAUGCCCAGAGGCUGCAAAAUCACAAAAGGUCAGAUGCCUACCUUUUAGAGCUAUGGGGAAAAGACAGACUCAAAUGAACUGCUGCAGUCUACUGAUUUGCCUCCUGGAUCAUUAUGCUACAAGCCAAUAGAUCAGACAGGAUAAUGAAGCUUUCUCCAGGAGAGAUUCACUAUGAACAAAGUUGGACAAAAAGUUUGCAUAUGAGGCUGGAGAAACUGAUUAAAGGCAUCUAACGAAAGUGGAGCGAUGGCAGAGAAAUGUAAAGGUGCCGUGCACCCUGGAGAAUAGUAAUGGUUGGCAGCUCUGAAACGCAGUUGGCUGAUGGGAGGAAUAGCAUCUGUGUGGGAAGAACUUCCUCCUUGUCACAUGAAGAUUGAGGAAGAAGACCACAUCUGUUCCUUGCCUAUGUCACUCCCUAGGGCCCCCAACAGCAGAAAAGCUGAAAGGUUCAUCUGCCAAAAGCAAGAAUUGUGCUGCAGAGACUUCAUCAGAAAAGCAAGAAACUGGAUCCCUCUAGAGGCCACUUACUUAAUCUGUACCAGUGGGGGAAAAAAUAUGUAAGUCGUUUCUCUAUUCUCUAUCUAUAAAUAAAGGUGUCUUAAUUAUCUCA